UACAGAGGGUGCAAGCGUUGUUCGGAAUUAUUGGGCGUAAAGGGCGCGUAGGCGGUGCGGUAAGUCUGUAGUGAAAUCUCUGGGCUCAACUCAGAGUCUGCUGCAGAAACUGCCGUGCUUGAGUGUGGGAGAGGUGAGUGGAAUUCCCGGUGUAGCGGUGAAAUGCGUAGAUAUCAGGAGGAACACCGAUGGCGAAGGCAGCUCGCUGGGACGGUACUGACGCUGAGGCGCGAAAGCGUGGGGAGCAAACAGG
rnacentral:rRNA from 1 species